rnacentral:tRNA from 1 species
CCCGCGAUAGCGCAGUUGGUAGAGCGGAGGACUGUAGAUCCUUAGGUCGGUGGUUCGAAUCCGUCUCGCGAGA